GAUGAACGCUGGCGGCGUGCUUAACACAUGCAAGUCGAACGAUUGAAGCUGGAGCUUGCUCCGGCCGAUUUAGUGGCGGACGGGUGAGUAACGCGUGGGUAACCUGCCUCAUACAGGGGGAUAGCAGUUGGAAACGACUGGUAAAACCGCAUAAGCGCACGGUAUCGCAUGAUACAGUGUGAAAACACUCCGGUGGUAUGAGAUGGACCCGCGUCUGAUUAGCUAGUUGGUGAGGUAACGGCCCACCAAGGUGACGAUCAGUAGCCGGCCUGAGAGGGUGAACGGCCACAUUGGGACUGAGACACGGCCCAAACUCCUACGGGAGGCAGCAGUGGGGAAUAUUGCACAAUGGGGGAAACCCUGAUGCAGCGACGCCGCGUGAGUGAUGAAGUAUUUCGGUAUGUAAAGCUCUAUCAGCAGGGAAGAUAA
rnacentral:rRNA from 1 species